CGGCGACGGGUGAGUAAUGCCUAGGAAUCUGCCUGGUAGUGGGGGACAACGUUCGAAAGGAACGCUAAUACCGCAUACGUCCUACGGGAGAAAGCAGGGGACCUUCGGGCCUUGCGCUAUCAGAUGAGCCUAGGUCGGAUUAGCUAGUUGGUGAGGUAAUGGCUCACCAAGGCGACGAUCCGUAACUGGUCUGAGAGGAUGAUCAGUCACACUGGAACUGAGACACGGUCCAGACUCCUACGGGAGGCAGCAGC
rnacentral:rRNA from 1 species